AAGGAAAAGGUUUUUGCUUUUACGAAGAGCAAAUACAAAACAAAGAGCGACUUAAACUAUUAAAGACAGUUCAGAAAACUGUAACACUUGAUUACAAGGACUACAUUUACACUGUAUUGCUCACAUCUGUCAUCUUAAAUAAUUCGUGGACCGUCAUUAAAAGAACCAAAAAGCGAAAGAAAUUAUCACUACUAUGACUCGCAGGAAAGUUUAGUACGCACAUGCAGGCAUACGAAUGUGGCAAAACAAAAAAAUGUGUGAUUAUAAAAAAUAUGUAUAAUAAUGUAUAAUAUGUAUAUGUAUAUAUGUAUCAUAUAAAUUCUAAGAGUUACGUUAGGUACAAAUGUAUUUAAAACAAAAGUAAUGAUAACGUGUUAGCAUGGUAAAAAAUAGAGUUUAAGCAGAACAAUUGUUUGAUUAUAUGUUUACGUUUAUUUUCAAU